CGGCAAGUCCUACACAACUAGCUCCUGUUGAAUCCUCCAGGUCGGGAACGAAGCAAAGGUAAAUGGUCGUAGCAGUGUGAUGUAGGUAGCUUGCCUUUU
rnacentral:SRP_RNA from 1 species